rnacentral:rRNA from 1 species
GACGAACGCUGGCGGCGUGCUUAACACAUGCAAGUCGAACGAAGUGGCGAACGGGUGAGUAACGCGUAAUCAACCUGCCCUUCAGAGGGGGACAACAGUUGGAAACGCCUGCUAAUACCGCAUACUGAAGGAGGGGAUUGCGUCUGAUUAGCUAGUUGGAGGGGUAACGGCCAAACAAGGUGAUGGUCAUUAGCCUGGCUGGGGGGAUGAACGGCCACAUUGGUCCUGGUGCACGGCCCAGACUCCUACGGGAGGCAGCAGUGGGGAAUCUUCCGCAAUGGACGAAAGUCUGACGGAGCAACGCCGCGUGAGUGAUGACGGCCUUCGGGUUGUAAAGCUCUUUUAAUCGGGACGCGGUACCGGAAUAGAAAGCCACGGCUAACUACGUGCCAGCAGCCGCGGUAAUAC